rnacentral:sRNA from 1 species
CCGUCGGGACCUGAUCCGGGGAGAUGAAAUGGAUGUGGGUGUCGAUCCCGCCCGCCGUGAGGAUCUUCCGCUCCCCCGCGAUGAUCUCCGUCGACGCGCCGACCGUGAUGUCCACGCCGUCCUGCAGGAGCGGGUUCCCGGCCUUCCCGAUGGCUUGGAUGUGGCCGUCGCGCAGCGCGACGGCGGCCUUGUAGAUGCCCGUGUAGUCGACAAUCAGGGCGUUCGUGAUGACGGUGUCCGGCACUCCUUCCAAACCGCCCGCCGCACCUCUCGUCAG